CCUACGGGUGGCAGCAGUGAGGAAUAUUGGUCAAUGGCCGAGAGGCUGAACCAGCCAAGUCGCGUGAGGGAAGACGGCCCUACGGGUUGUAAACCUCUUUUGUCGGGGAGCAAAGCGAGUCACGUGUGCCUCUUUGAGAGUACCCUACGAACAAGCAUCGGCUAACUCCGUGCCAGCAGCCGCGGUAAUCCGGAGGAUGCGAGCGUUAUCCGGAUUUAUUGGGUUUAAAGGGUGCGCAGGCGGAGGUGCAAGUCAGCGGUAAAAUUGCGGGGCUCAACCCCGUACUGCCGUUGAAACUGCAUCCCUUGAGUGCGCGAGAAGUAUGCGGAAUGCGUGGUGUAGCGGUGAAAUGCAUAGAUAUCACGCAGAACUCCGAUUGCGAAGGCAGCAUACCGGCGCGCAACUGACGCUCAUGCACGAAAGCGUGGGUAUCGAACAGGAUUAGAUACCCUAGUAGUC
rnacentral:rRNA from 1 species